rnacentral:rRNA from 1 species
AUUGAACGCUGGCGGCAGGCCUAACACAUGCAAGUCGAACGAGUGGCGGACGGGUGAGUAAUGUCUGGGAAACUGCCUGAUGGAGGGGGAUAACUACUGGAAACGGUUGCUAAUACCGCAUACCAUCAGAUGGGCCCAUAUGGGAUUAGCUUGUUGGGGGGGUAAAGGAUCAACAAGGCGACGAUCCCUAGCGGGUCUGAGAGGAUGACCAGACACACUGGACCUGGGCCACGGUCCAGAUUCCUACGGGAGGAAGCAGGGGGGAAUAUUGCACAAUGGGGGCAAGCCUGAUGCAGCAAUGCCCCGUGUAUGUAGAGGGCCUUCGGGUUGUAAAGUACUUUCAGCGGGGAGGCGUUACCCGCAGAAGAAGCACCGGCUAACUCCGUGCCAGCAGCCGCGGUAAUUC